rnacentral:rRNA from 1 species
GUCCGCACCGUAAACGAUGAUCACUCGUUGUUGGCGAUACACAGUCAGCGACUAAGCGAAAGCAUUAAGUGAUCCACCUGGGAAGUACGACCGCAAGGUUGAAACUCAAAGGAAUUGACGGGGCCCGCACAAGCGGAGGAGCAUGUGGUUUAAUUCGAUGGUACGCGAGGAACCUUACCUGGGCUUGAAAGACAGUUGACCGUCUCUGAAAGGAGACUUUCGCAAGACAACUGUCUAGGUGCUGCAUGGCUGUCGU